CGGAGGGGCUAGCGUUGUUCGGAAUUACUGGGCGUAAAGCGCACGUAGGCGGACCAGAAAGUUGGGGGUGAAAUCCCGGGGCUCAACCUCGGAACUGCCUUCAAAACUACUGGUCUGGAGUUCGAGAGAGGUGAGUGGAAUUCCGAGUGUAGAGGUGAAAUUCGUAGAUAUUCGGAGGAACACCAGUGGCGAAGGCGGCUCACUGGCUCGAUACUGACGCUGAGGUGCGAAAGCGUGGGGAGCAAACAGGAUU
rnacentral:rRNA from 1 species